rnacentral:rRNA from 1 species
GACAGAGGGUGCAAACGUUGUUCGGAAUUACUGGGCGUAAAGCGCGUGUAGGCGGCUAAGUAAGUCGGGCGUGAAAUCCCACGGCUCAACCGUGGAAGUGCACUCGAAACUGCAUAGCUAGAGUCCUGGAGAGGAAGGUGGAAUGCUUGGUGUAGAGGUGAAAUUCGUAGAUAUCAAGCGGAACACCGGUGGCGAAGGCGGCCUUCUGAACAGUGACUGACGCUGAGACGCGAAAGCGUGGGGAGCAAACAGG